rnacentral:rRNA from 1 species
UACGUAGGGGGCAAGCGUUGUCCGGAUUUAUUGGGCGUAAAGAGCGUGUAGGCGGCCACACAGGUCAGCUGUGAAAACUCGAGGCUCAACCUCGAGACGUCGGUUGAAACCGUAUGGCUAGAGUCCGGAAGAGGAGAGUGGAAUUCCCGGUGUAGCGGUGAAAUGCGCAGAUAUCAGGAGGAACACCGGUGGCGAAGGCGGGUCUCUGGGCCGAUACUGACGCUGAGGAGCGAAAGCGUGGGGAGCGAACAGG